rnacentral:rRNA from 1 species
UACCGCGGUCUCAAGCGUUGUUCGGAUUCAUUGGGCGUAAAGGGUGCGUAGGCGGCGCGGUAAGUCGGGUGUGAAAUCUCGGAGCUUAACUCCGAAACUGCAUUCGAUACUGCCGUGCUUGAGGACUGGAGAGGAGACUGGAAUUUACGGUGUAGCGGUGAAAUGCGUAGAUAUCGUAAGGAAGACCAGUGGCGAAGGCGGGUCUCUGGACAGUUCCUGACGCUGAGGCACGAAGGUCAGGGGAGCAAACGGG